rnacentral:rRNA from 1 species
GGUGAACGCUAGCGGUGCGCCUAACACAUGCAAGUCGAGCGGUAGAAUUUCUAGCUUGCUAGAAAUUUGAGAGCGGCGAACGGGUGAGUAACACGUUGGAAUCUGCCCCCAAGUCAGGGAUAGCCAUUGGAAACGAUGAUUAAUACCGGAUGUGCUCUUCGGAGUAAAGAUUUAUCGCUUGGGGAGGAUCCUGCGUACUAUCAGCUUGUUGGUGAGGUAACUGCUCACCAAGGCUAUGACGGUUAACUGGUCUGAGAGGAUGAUCAGUCACAAUGAAACUGAGACACGGUUCAUACUCCUACGGGAGGCAGCAGUGAGGAAUCUUCCACAAUGGACGAAAGUCUGAUGGAGCGACACCGCGUGAAGGAUGAAGGUCUAACGAUUGUAAACUUCUUUUCUGAGGGAGCAUAAUGAGAGUACCUCAGGAAUAAGGGACGGCUAAUUACGUG